rnacentral:lncRNA from 1 species
UCAUAUCACAUCUGGUCCAGUUAAGAGACACAGUAGAUAUUCACUGUCCCUUGAGCUCCAAGGAAGCAGACUCUGUGGAUGCCCUGCCAAAGAUAAAGUCUGAAUAUGAGUCUUGGAGAACUAUUGUCACCUGCUGUAUUUAGAAGAGGACAGAAUUCAGGUUGGAGACCAGACCCAAGCCUACCUGUUUCUCCACAAGAGGACAUUCUUCCUCCCAGGCACAGAAGCACCUGGCUGGGCCUGGGGUGUCCUGUGAGGCAGGAGGUAUGCUGAGAUCUUCCUGGGGGUUGGUCCCUUGUUUCUCUGGCCUCAAUUUCUUUGUCUCUUGCAUGCUGGUAGCUGUACUGGGACAAGAAUUACAAACCAUGAUACUCAUAAGCCAGGCGACAAAACUGGCCCAGAGCAGGGAGGUGGAACCAGCAGGAGGAGGGAGAGAGCAUGAACAAGAGAGCCCAGUGCUCAACAGCAGUGCCCAGCUCAGAGGAUGUUCGCUGCAGUAAAUACGGGACCAUGUAGUCUGGUGCUCAGGGGUGUUUGUUUGUUUACUUGCUUGCUUGUUUUAAAGAUUUAUUUUAUGUAUUUGAGUACACUGUAACUGUGCAGAUGGUUCGAGCCAUCAUGUGGUUGCUGGGAAUUGAACUCUGGGCCUUUACUCACUCCGGCCCAAAGAUUAAUUUAUUAUUAUAUGUAAGUACAAUGUAGCUUGUCUUCAGACCCACCAGAAGAGGGCAUCAGAUCUCAUUAUAGAUGGUUGUGAGCCACCAUGUGGUUGCUGGGACUUUAACUCAGUACCUUCAGAAGAGCAGUCAGUGCUCUUAACCACUGAGCCAUCUCUCCAGCCCUGGUCCUCAGUUUUUGCCAGAGAAAUUAGAAAUGUGAAUUUUAUGUGAGAAAUCCAACUAUUAAAAAUUUGGCAGUGGUUGAAGGAUGGAAAGCCAUUGGAGGUGGAAUGGAGUCCAUCUAAAGUCAGAACCCAGCCCCGGCUCCAACUGGGACCUUCUCGAGUCAGUGUCAAGGCUGGCUGCUUCCCAAUGCCACCACCACUGUGAGGAGCAGAACCCCUGUUUUACAGCUGGGUCCAGACUUCCUUGGCUGGGUCACCUUGCAGUUAAGGGUGGCCAGGUGACUGAGCACUGGACAAUAGGUGGCCCCUGGAACCUGAGCCUGCACUGCUGGACUCCCCAUUCCUGAGCAUCAGAGGCCCAGGCAGUGAGAGGGAUCAGGUUAAAUGUAGUUGCUACCACUGACAGCCUAGGUUUGAUCCCUGGGACCCCCAUGGUGGAAGGAGAGAGCUGUCUCCAUAAGUUGACCUCUGACCUCCACGCGCACAUGGUAUGUGUGGCCAAACACACAUACACAAUACAUACAUACAUACAUACAUACAUACAUACAUACAUACAUAAUAUUCUAAAGAGUUUUAAAAACAAGAGCCAUGCAUUUCCAUCUUCCCCAACUUACUAUUCUGAGUAUGAACACAUGCUGUUGGCCAUGAGCUCAGAUGAAGGCAUAUCUUGGAGUAGAGAGCAAAAGAAGGAUGCAUAUCUGGUACCCUACCUGGCCAUACUCACCCUAAACAGUCUGGACCAUUCCCUGUCUAACAAUCACCUUGUGGGCAUUACCAUAGCCAUAGUAACAGUCCACCUAGCACAGCUGCAAGAAUCUUCCUCAGCUGGUAUUAUUUGUUUCUUUUUACAUGUAUUUAUUUAUUUAUUGUUCAUGGUGCUGGAGAUAGAAGACAGGAUCUCUCGUGUAUUAUUACCCCUGAGCCAGCCUCAGUUCGGAAUUUCAAAACCAGAGUCCUCAAAUGCCUACCCCCUGCUUGCCUAUCUAACCAUUUUACAGGCUGGGACGCCCAGGCACAGUAAAGUCUGUAACGUAAUGAGUACAGGGCCUCUCUAUAUGCAAAGCCACAAACAGGACCCAUGUUCUUCCCUAAGAUAAAGAGGCUCUAAGGACUCCUGUGCCCUCAGCUGUUGUGUGGCCCCUGCCAAUCACUGUCCUGUCUGGGCAGUUUGGCAUCUUGCCUGGCCUCUGACUAAACAGGUUUGAAUUGGUGCCCAGUGCCAAUUCUGUCAUUUGAAGUUUCUACCAGGUGACUCAAGACUUGGCAAUAGAAAGGCAGUUCUUUUCCCCCCCAAAACCUUGGGUGCUGGGUGCGAGCCUUCCACUGGCUUCAGCUACUGGCUCAUCUUUCUCUGGAGAUCCAGGGCUUGUGAUCUGGAAAGCCAGAUGUGCAGAAAAGACCAAUGGAGGAGAAUAAAGUGCUUACUGGCUUCACUUGCCCCCUCAAACACUCCUGCCCUCAUCUCUAAGUAACAGCCUCUGCCAGCCUCUCUUAGGUACUUAGCCAGGGUGCUCACACAGCUCUGUAGAGCCACUGCAGGCUGAGUUACUCAGAGGAAACAGCAUGGGCUAGGGACCAGGUAGGCCAGGUUCUCCUUCCACACGAUCCUGUCAAGGGCCAGAAUCCUUGACUUUGAACUCAUCUUGGAAACAAAGUUGCAAAUGCCCAAGCCAAGGUCCAUGCAGGAGUCUGCGCAAGAGCGUCUACUUAACAAAGCAAGGCGACAACAGGAAGGGGAAGUAAGGUGGCUCUCUCCAGUACUUGUAGAAGUUGAUAGCUCCAGUCCAAAGUCAAUAAAUCAAGAAACAGCAGGCUAGGCAUGUUAUUUACUGCCUAGAGGCAGCCACAAAAGCCAAAAGUGUGUGGAGGAGUUUGCUGAGAACCCAGACUUUUUACUGUAAGCCCUCUUUAUUAGUUUGGGUUUUAAGUCUGUUGGUAGUGUUGUUUGUUUAAGUGACCAUACUCUCCAGUGUUGGUUUGUGACAUUGCUGCCAGUCACAGACCUGUUUGGAUCUGGAAAGCCACUCUCAGGGUUUCAUGAUCGACUUGUGCAGUCAGGUUGCAUGGUCGGUCGGUCUCUAUAAAUGAGCAGAUAUCUGGCUUUAGGCAAACUUCUCAAUCCCUCUAAGGUCCAAGUUUCUCCGACUACAGAACAGGCUUCUGGUAUAAUGCAGUAAGUGGCCACUAGGGGCACUGUUCUAAUUAACCCUUAACGCAAGCAGUCACUUCUCUUUCCUUGCUUGCCCAGGUAUAGUGCCUGCCAGUCCACAUGAUUACAGAAAGUUCUACGUCGUCCUUUUUAGUUAUUGCAAAAAUUUCAAUGCAUGGGAUGUAAAAUUAGUUAUACCAGGCAGCUUUCACGUUCAGUGUAACGCACUUUGCAGCGAUUGGCAGGUCUUCUUGGGCAGAACAAUGACUCUUUUUGACAAAGGCAGUUCUUUUUCUUUUUCUCUUUCUUUCAUUCUUUCUUUCUUUUUGUUUUUGUUUGUUUGUUUCGAGACAGGGUUUCUCUGUGUAGCCUUGGCUGUCCUGGAACUCACUUUGUAGACCAGGCUGGCCUCAAACUCAGAAAUCCACCUGCCUCUGCCUCUGGAGUGCUGGGAUUAAAGGCGUGUGCCACCACCACCCAGUGACAGAAGCAUUUCUAAAAGAGGUGACUAGGCCACAGAGUUUGUGUAAUUGAAGCUUUUAUUAAAAAGCACUAACAACUAGAAUCCACCCACAAAUGCCAUAAGAUAGCUUUAACUGAGUCAUAUUGAUACCGGGUAUGUUCACCCUGCGUUUUCUUUUUGAUUUUUUGUUUGAUGGUUUAUUUUUUGAGACAGGGUGUCUUAAGCAGAGACUGACCUUGAACUCUCUCCUUGCUGAGGAUGACCUUGAAAGCCCACGCCCACUGCAUCCACUGCGUCCACUGCACACACCUCAUCCUGUGCAUUUUCUAACUCAUGUCACCACGUGUGACUAAACAUUUUUGCUAAGUUCAUCAUCCAUGUUACCCUGUGAAAUACAAAUCUGCAUCCUUUGCCCAUUUUAGUUAGAACUCUCGUAAUAUCCCACCGACUCAUAGAGCCUUCCGCAUAUUACAACCUUAAUUCCUUAAUGCAUACGAGGCACACACCUUCCCGCAGCCUACUCUGUGCCCAGUUUCUUCAUAUAUCUUUGAGCAAAGAAAUGUCAUACACUCUUGACUUAUUCUAAAAGGAGGGACUGCCCAGUGGGCAGAGCAGGUGACCCUUGAGACUUACCUACAUCUCCUUGUACCAUGACACUGAGAGGGGACAAGGCCCAGAGAAGGUUGGUGGGCCAGAGUGAGGUACACCAGUUUUUUUUUAUAUUAUAUAAAUAGUUUAUAUUCUAUUAUAUUAAUUUUAAAAUAUUUUAUAUAUUUUAGCACUGUUACAUUUUUCAGUCACUGGAGUGUCUAUACGGGCUUAUCACGAGAAAUAGGAUUUGCUAUUUGUUCCUGUUGGAGAGCAGCUAUCCCAAACCUCUCUACCGACAAAGCCAUUCUUUCCUACAGACAUGAUAUCCCUUUGACAGACAUCUCUCUGACACUCUGGGCACUCCUGUCAAGCCUGGCAUAUGAUGGAACUCUGUUAACACUGGCUUUGGGGACAUCUGGAAUAACCACUCAAUGAGAGCUAGCCUCUCCAGAGUGAGGCUGAGCACAGGGCUCCCAACUCAGAAGUACAACUCAAGAUUGUGGCUUGGGUUUAGCUUCUCAUCUCAAAUCGUCUUGACUUGUCUGCCUUAAAAUUUCUACAUUUCACGUUGGUUUUGUGCAAGCCACAGCACAGUGACUCAGCGUGUGUAUUGCUUGUGCAACCAGGACCCUCACCUAAUCAAGAUAUGUCAGUCUUUCAGGAGUUCCUGUGUUCCCCGGGCAGUCUGUCUCCCUCCCCUUCCCCCACAGGCAACGGUGAUCUGAUCGGUCUAAAUGCAUGAGUGCAGACGGUUGAUAACAUUUUUUCAGAGAGAGACGUGAGCACACACCAGCACGAGCCGUUGGCUGGGGAGGAAAGUUAACUUCCCCCAAGGGCCUGCUCUUGGAUGAUGGAUGUGGAGGAGGAGGAAGGCUGUGGGGACAAACAUCCCCAUGGGUCUGAAGGCUUGAAGAUGUCCCUCAUGGAAACCCCCUCCUAGGCCAGAGAAAAUUGAUCCCAGAUCACUUCAAAAAGAGCCAUGUUGACCUCUUCUUCUAAAGCUAAGAAUAAAACCUGUUAAAUAUUUACCU